rnacentral:misc_RNA from 1 species
UGAAGUGCGAUAUGUAGUGUGAAUUGCAGAAUUCCGUGAAUCAUCGAAUCUUUGAACGCAUAUUGCACUCUCCGGUAAUUCCAGAGAGUAUGCCUGUUUGAGGGUCAUUUGAAAUAUAAGUUCUAAAUUUAGAAAAGAAAUGGGUCUUCCAGAUUUUAUGGUUACCUAAAAUACAAGACAUGCCAUUUUUUUGGGUUAUGUUAUACAAGUUAUUCGUGACUCCGAAAAAUGCGUGUCAUUUGUCUCUGCAAAAUAUAAUAGGACCUCAAAUUAGGUAGGAGUACCCGCUGAACUUAA